rnacentral:rRNA from 1 species
GACAGAGGGUGCAAACGUUGUUCGGAAUCACUGGGCGUAAAGCGCGUGUAGGCUGCUGCGCAAGUCGGAUGUGAAAUCCCACGGCUCAACCAUGGAAGUGCAUUCGAAACUGCGUAGCUAGAGUUUUGGAGAGGAAGGCGGAAUACUCGGUGUAGAGGUGAAAUUCGUAGAUAUCGAGUGGAACACCGGUGGCGAAGGCGGCUCACUGGCUCGUAACUGACGCUCAUGCACGACAGCGUGGGGAUCAAACAGG